rnacentral:snRNA from 1 species
UAAAUUUAACGAUCUCUUCAUCC